rnacentral:rRNA from 1 species
AGCAGCCCGCGGUAAUUCCAGCUCCAAUAGCGUAUAUUAAAGUUGUUGCAGUUAAAAAGCUCGUAGUUGAACUUCGGGGUUUACCCAUCGGUCAGGCUUAAUUGUCUGCACUGGUGAGAUAAAUCUCUACCUUCUGAGGAACUUUCAUGCCAUUUAUUUGGUGUGAUUGGAAAUCAGGACUAUUACUUUGAAAAAAUUAGAGUGUUUAAAGCAGGCUAACGUCUGAAUAUAUUAGCAUGGAAUAAUGAAAUAGGACGGCUUGGUUCUAUUUCGUUGGUUUCUAGGAUCACCGUAAUGAUUAAUAGGGAUAGUUGGGGGCAUUAGUAUUCAAUUGUCAGAGGUGAAAUUCUUGGAUUUAUUGAAGACUAACUACUGCGAAAGCAUUUGCCAAGGAUGUUUUC